rnacentral:rRNA from 1 species
AGUAAAAGUCGUAACAAGGUAUCUGUAGGUGAACCUGCAGAUGGAUCAUUUCGAUGAAAACCUUUUUUCUGAGGUGUGGCUCGCACCUGUCUAACUAAACUUGAGCUACCCAAUUUCAACACGGUUGCAUCGGUUGGCUGUCAAACAGUGCCUCGGCGCUGGGAGGCGGUCGACACACAACACAAACACUUUUGAUGAUUUAGGAUUUUGAAUGAAGUUCAUUUUUACGAUGGAACCGACUGGUAAUGCGGUCGUCUAAAUCUAAAAAACAACUUUUGGCAACGGAUCUCUUGGUUCUCCCAUCGAUGAAGAACGCAGCGAAUUGCGAUAAGUAAUGUGAAUUGCAGAAGUGAAUCAUCGAAUCUUUGAACGCACCUUGCGCUCCCGGCAGAUCUAAUCUGGGGAGCAUGCCUGUUUGAGGGCCGCGAAUUGUUUCGAACGACAGCUUUUUUUCUUUGUGAAAAAGUUGGCGGAUCGGUAUUGAGGGUUUGCCUUUUACCAUGGCUCCCUCGAAAUGCAUUAGCGCAUCCAUUUGAUAGGCAAGACGGACGAAAGCUCGAUUUUCGCCCUCUCUUCCCUGCCGGGUUUUGAUAAUAUCAGGACUUCGGAGGCGGAGA